GGGUUGUGAGGUUAAGCGACUAAGCGUACACGGUGGAUGCCCUGGCAGUCAGAGGCGAUGAAGGGCGUGCUAAUCUGCGAUAAGCGCCGGUAAGGUGAUAUGAACCGUUAUAACCGGCGAUACCCGAAUGGGGAAACCCAGUGUGAUUCGUCACACUAUCAUUAACUGAAUCCAUAGGUUAAUGAGGCGAACCGGGGGAACUGAAACAUCUAAGUACCCCGAGGAAAAGAAAUCAACCGAGAUUCCCCCAGUAGCGGCGAGCGAACGGGGAGGAGCCCAGAGCUUGAAUCAGCAUGUGUGUUAGUGGAAGCGUCUGGAAAGGCGCGCGAUACAGGGUGACAGCCCCGUACACAAAAGCGCAUGUGCUGUGAGCUCGAUGAGUAGGGCGGGACACGUGGUAUCCUGUCUGAAUAUGGGGGGACCAUCCUCCAAGGCUAAAUACUCCUGACUGACCGAUAGUGAACCAGUACCGUGAGGGAAAGGCGAAAAGAACCCCGGCGAGGGGAGUGAAAAAGAACCUGAAACCGUGUACGUACAAGCAGUGGGAGCACCCUUUGGGGUGUGACUGCGUACCUUUUGUAUAAUGGGUCAGCGACUUAUAUUCUGUAGCAAGGUUAACCGUAUAGGGGAGCCG
rnacentral:rRNA from 1 species